rnacentral:rRNA from 1 species
GACAGAGGGUGCAAACGUUGCUCGGAAUCAUUGGGCGUAAAGCGCACGUAGGCGGCCUAGCAAGUAGGGAGUGAAAGCCCUCGGCUUAACCGAGGAAGUGCUUUCUAAACUACUAGGCUUGAAUACUGGAGAGGGUCGCGGAAUUCCCGGUGUAGAGGUGAAAUUCGUAGAUAUCGGGAGGAACACCAGUGGCGAAGGCGGCGACCCGGACAGAUAUUGACGCUGAGGUGCGAAAGCGUGGGGAGCAAACAGGG